ensembl:lncRNA
GUGGUGGGGGUGGUGGAGUAGUAGAGUGGUGGGGUGGUGGAGUGGUGGAGUGGUGGGGUGUAGUGAGUCACACAGUCAAACAAGCUCUGGACCUCCCGGACAAGCUGCCUGUUAGGUAUUAUACACAGACAGGGUCUAAGGCAGAGGACAAAGCUAAACUUAAAACAAACUCUAAAACAGAGGGACCAACCCGGUCAGUCUGCCUGUCUGCCUGCCUGGCUAGCUGGAAUGAGUCAUGCAGGUUGGGGAGGCCCCGGGAAAGAUGUUUGUUAGACCAACAGAGACACGAAACCCCAAUGUAGACCAGCUACUAGAGUUAACAGAGAGGAGACCCCACUGUAGACCAGCUACUAGAGUUAACACAGAGGAGACCCCCACUGUAGACCAGCUACUAGAGUUAACACAGAGGAGACCCCCACUGUAGACCAGCUACUAGAGUUAACACAGAGGAGACCCCCACUGUAGACCAGCUACUAGAGUUAACACAGAGGAGACCCCCACUGUAGACCAGCUACUAGAGUUAACACAGAGGAGACCCCCACUGUAGACCAGCUACUAGAGUUAACACAGAGGAGACCCCCACUGUAGACCAGCUACUGGGGUUAACACAGAAGAGACCCCCACUGUAGACCAGCUACUAGAGUUAACACAGAGGAGACCCCCACUGUAGACCAGCUACUGGGGUUAACACAGAGGAGACCCCCACUGUAGACCAGCUACUGGGGUUAACACAGAGGAGACCCCACUGUAGACCAGCUACUAGAGUUAACACAGAGGAGACCCCCACUGUAGACCAGCUACUAGAGUUAACACAGAGGAGACCCCCACUGUAGACCAGCUACUAGAGUUAACACAGAGGAGACCCCCACUGUAGACCAGCUACUAGAGUUAACACAGAGGAGACCCCCACUGUAGACCAGAGAGGGGAGGGUCUGAGGGAUUUAAUGAUGGCUAAUGUGACCCUGUGACUAGGAGGCUUCGGAAGCAUCAAAAUGGCACCCUAUUCCCUAUAUAGUGCUCUACUUUAGACCAGAGCCCUAUUCCCUAUAUAGUGCACUACUUUAGACCAGGGCCCUAUUCCCUAUAUAGUGCACAACUUUAGACCAAAGCCCUAUUCCCUAUAUAGUGCACUACUUUAGACCAGAGCCCUAUUCCCUAUAUAGUGCACUACUUUAGACCAGGGCCCUAUUCCCUAAAUAGUGCACUACUUUAGACCAGAGCCCUAUUCCCUAUAUAGUGCACCACUUUAGAUCAGAGCCCUAUUCCCUAUAUAGUGCACUGCUUUAGACCAGAGCCCUAUUCCCUAUAUAGUACACUACUUUAGACCAGAGCCCUAUUCCCUAUAUAGUACACUACUUUAAACCAGAGCCCUAUUCCCUAUAUACAGCACUACUUUAGACCAGAGCCUUAUUCCUUAUAUGGUGCACUACUUUAGACCAGAGCCAUAUUCCCUAUAUAGUGCACUACUUUAGACAAGAGCCCAAUCCCUAUAUAGUGCACUACUUUAGACCAGAGCCCUAUUCCCUAUAUAGUGCACUACUCUAGACCAGAGCCCUAUUCCCUAUAUAGUGCAC